rnacentral:rRNA from 1 species
AGUGAACGCUGGCGGCAGGCCUAACACAUGCCAGUCGAGCGGCAGCGCGGGGGCAACCCUGGCGGCGAGCGGCGGACGGGUGAGGAAUUCGUCGGAAUCUGCCUUUUUGUGGGGGAUAACGAAGGGAAACUUACGCUAAUACCGCAUACGUCCUACGGGAGAAAGUGGGGGACCGCAAGGCCUCACGCAGAAAGAUGAGCCGACGACCGAUUAGCUAGUUGGUGGGGUAAAGGCCCACCAAGGCGACGAUCGGUAGCUGGUCUGAGAGGAUGAUCAGCCACACUGGGACUGAGACACGGCCCAGACUCCUACGGGAGGCAGCAGUGGGGAAUAUUGGACAAUGGGCGCAAGCCUGAUCCAGCCAUGCCGCGUGUGUGAAGAAGGCCUUCGGGUUGUAAAGCACUUUUGUCCGGAAAGAAAUCCCUGGAGCUAAUACCUUCGGGGGAUGACGGUACCGGAAGAAUAAGCACCGGCUAACUUCGUG